GUUGAUAUUGAUCCACCAUUCGAUACUAUGGAUACGGUUAAUAAAAUUUUCAAUCUAUCUGUUUAAAAUUGCAAUUUCACACUUUAGACAGAGAGUUAGAAGCUGUUACAAAGAAUAUUAGGAGAUGAAUUUGAGUAAAAGCUCUGUGAGUUAAAUUUUUAUCUAAACAAAAGAUUACCGUUUCCGAAGAUCGUGAGAUGAUGGUUUAGUGUGAGGAAUAUUAGGAAUUUUAAUUUUUUUUUAUAGAAAAGAUUAGUUGAGAUAAGCACACGAAACUGUUUUGUAUUUUUUUUUGCAUUUAUGUUUUUAAAAUUUGUAAAACAUAUGACAUGUGUCAGAUUUCUAUUUGUUAGGCGACUUGCGCUUUAGUAUAUAAGGUAUUGUGAUUAUAUAUUAAUAUAUUUUCAAGUUUUGUGAAAUAAAUUCUUAAUAUGAAAUAAAAAAAUUGAGAAUCUCCUUCAUUUUUUCUAAUUUUU
rnacentral:lncRNA from 1 species